rnacentral:rRNA from 1 species
CCUACGGGUGGCAGUAGUGGGGAAUAUUGGACAAUGGGGGCAACCCUGAUCCAGCCAUGCCGCGUGUGUGAAGAAGGCCCUCGGGUUGUAAAGCACUUUCAGUGAGGAAGAACGCCUGGUGGUUAAUACCCAUCAGGAAAGACAUCACUCACAGAAGAAGCACCGGCUAACUCCGUGCCAGCAGCCGCGGUAAUACGGAGGGUGCGAGCGUUAAUCGGAAUUACUGGGCGUAAAGCGCGCGUAGGUGGCUUGAUAAGCCGGUUGUGAAAGCCCCGGGCUCAACCUGGGAACGGCAUCCGGAACUGUCAAGCUAGAGUGCAGGAGAGGAAGGUAGAAUUCCCGGUGUAGCGGUGAAAUGCGUAGAGAUCGGGAGGAAUACCAGUGGCGAAGGCGGCCUUCUGGACUGACACUGACACUGAGGUGCGAAAGCGUGGGUAGCAAACAGGAUUAGAUACCCCAGUAGUC